AGAAGCGAAACUGCGAAGUGGAGCAAAACUCUAAAAAAACAAUCUCAGUUCAGAUUGCAGGCUGCAACUCGCCUGCAUGAAGUCGGAAUUGCUAGUAAUCGUAGGUCAGCAUACUACGGUGAAUACGUUCCCGGGCCUUGUACACACCGCCCGUCAAACCAUGAGAGUUGGCAACACCCGAAGUCGGUAGUCUAACCGCAAGGAGGACGCCGCCGAAGGUGGGGUUGAUGAUUAGGGUUAAGUCGUAACAAGGUAAC
rnacentral:rRNA from 1 species